UAGUCCACGCCGUAAACGAUGGGUGCUAGGUGUGGGCGGUGUCGACUCCGUCCGUGCCGAAGCUAACGCAUUAAGCACCCCGCCUGGGGAGUACGGCCGCAAGGCUAAAACUCAAAGGAAUUGACGGGGGCCCGCACAAGCAGCGGAGCAUGUUGUUUAAUUCGACGCGACGCGAAGAACCUUACCAGGGCUUGACAUGCACGGGAAUGUCGUAGAAAUACGGCAGCCCUUCGGGGCUCGUGCAC
rnacentral:rRNA from 1 species